CACAAACUGUUGAGAACACACACACACGCGAAUCGGUUGAGACAUCUCUUUUUCUAUAAUAACACCUCAUAUACAUUGCUUUCUAAAAGAACAAACGUUCUCCUUGCUGCGCAGUUGGCGUCGUUGGCAACUUUGCUUGCCACUGCUCCCUGCGGCGCGGAAAGGACGACCGUCCUGGGUUUCGCCGUUGUCAGAGUAGAAGCAAGGGGGUGCUCUGCCUUCCCACGGUUUCUACACUGCUACAGCUGGUAAG
rnacentral:misc_RNA from 1 species